rnacentral:rRNA from 1 species
GACGAACGCUGGCGGCGUGCUUAACACAUGCAAGUCGAACGGAAAGGCCCCUUUGGGGGUACUCGAGUGGCGAACGGGUGAGUAACACGUGAGUAACCUGCCCUUGACUUCGGGAUAACUUCAGGAAACUGGGGCUAAUACCGGAUAGGAAUCCUUGCUGCAUGGUGGGGGUUGGAAAGCUUCGGCGGUUUUGGAUGGACUCGCGGCUUAUCAGCUUGUUGGUGGGGUAGUGGCUUACCAAGGCUUUGACGGGUAGCCGGCCUGAGAGGGCGACCGGCCACAUUGGGACUGAGAUACGGCCCAGACUCCUACGGGAGGCAGCAGUGGGAAAUAUUGCACAAUGGGCGGAAGCCCGAUGCAGCAACGCCGCGUGCGGGAUGACGGCCUUCGGGUUGUAAACCGCUUUCAGCAGGGGCGAAGCUUGUGGUGACGGUACCUGCAGAAGAAGCACCGGCUAACUACGUG